GACGAACGCUGGCGGCGUGCUUAACACAUGCAAGUCGAACGGAAAGGCCCUGCUUUUGUGGGGUGCUCGAGUGGCGAACGGGGGAGUAACACGUGAGUAACCUGCCCUUGACUUUGGGAUAACUUCAGGAAACUGGGGCUAAUACCGGAUAGGAGCUCCUGCUGCAUGGUGGGGGUUGGAAAGUUUCGGCGGUUGGGGAUGGACUCGCGGCUUAUCAGCUUGUUGGUGGGGUAGUGGCUUACCAAGGCUUUGACGGGUAGCCGGCCUGAGAGGGUGACCGGCCCCCUUGGGCCUGCGGUACGGCCCAGACUCCUACGGUAGGCAGCAGUGGGGAGUAUUACACAAUGGGCCGAAGCCUGAUGCAGCAACGCCGCGUGCGGGAUGACGGCCUUCGGGUUGUAAACCGCUUUCGCCUGUGACGAAGCGUGAGUGACGGUAAUGGGUAAAGAAGCACCGGCUAACUACGUG
rnacentral:rRNA from 1 species